GAUGAAGAACGUAGCGAAAUGCGAUAAGUAAUGUGAAUUGCAGAAUUCAGUGAAUCAUCGAAUCUUUGAACGCACAUUGCGCCAGGUAGUAAUCUGCCGGGCAUGCCUGUUCGAGCGUCAUUUCAACCAUCAAGCCCCAGCGCUUGUGUUGGGGGCCUGCGGCUGCCGCAGCCCCCUAAAAGCAGUGGCGGGCUCGCUAUCACACCGAGUGCAGUAGUUCAUCUUCUCUCCGAUCUUGUGAGGCGGGUUCCGGCCGUGAAACACCCCACUACAUUCAAGGUUGACCUCGGAUCAGGUAGGAAUACCCGCUGAACUUAAGCAUAUCAAUAAGCGGAGGA
rnacentral:misc_RNA from 1 species